rnacentral:rRNA from 1 species
UGCCAGCCGCCGCGGUAAUACGGAGGGUGCAAGCGUUAAUCGGAAUUACUGGGCGUAAAGCGCACGUAGGCGGUUAAGUAAGUCAGAUGUGAAAGCCCCAAACUCAACCUAAGAACUGCAUUUGAUACUGCUUAACUAGAAUAUAAUAGAGGCAAAUGGAAUUCCAGGUGUAACAAUGAAAUGCAUAGAUAUCUGGAAGAACAUCAGUAACGAAGGCGACUUACUGGACCAAUACUGACGCUGAGGUGCGAAAGCGUGGGGAGCAAACAGGAUUAGAUA